GACGAACGCUGGCGGCGUGCCUAAUACAUGCAAGUAGAACGCUGAAGGAGGAGCUUGCUUCUCUGGAUGAGUUGCGAACGGGUGAGUAACGCGUAGGUAACCUGCCUGAUAGCGGGGGAUAACUAUUGGAAACGAUAGCUAAUACCGCAUAAUAGCAGUUGUUGCAUGACAACUGUUUGAAAGGUGCAAUUGCACCACUACCAGAUGGACCUGCGUUGUAUUAGCUAGUUGGUGGGGUAACGGCUCACCAAGGCGACGAUACAUAGCCGACCUGAGAGGGUGAUCGGCCACACUGGGACUGAGACACGGCCCAGACCCCUACGGGAGGCAGCAGUAGGGAAUCUUCGGCAAUGGACGGAAGUCUGACCGAGCAACGCCGCGUGAGUGAAGAAGGUUUUCGGAUCGUAAAGCUCUGUUGUAAGAGAAGAACGAGUGUGAGAGUGGAAAGUUCACACUGUGACGGUAUCUUACCAGAAAGGGACGGCUAACUACGUG
rnacentral:rRNA from 1 species